rnacentral:tRNA from 1 species
GAGCCCGUAGCUCAGCGGUAGAGCGUUCGGUUCACAUCCGAAAGGUCGAUGGUUCAAGUCCAUCCGGGCUCA